UUACGUACAUUUAACAUAUCAAGGUGGUCAAUGGAAAAAUAACAUAUAAUAUAUAUAGUUGAGAGAAGGAAAAAAAACACACACAAGUGACAAACAACAAUGGGAGCAUAUCACACAAGUGACAAACAACAAUGGUAGCAUAUCACACAUGACUAGGAACGAACAGGACAUAACAAUCUCAAACAAUCACACUUGAUCUUCAAAUUUUCUUGAAUGGGAUGAAUUGGUCGAACAAGAGUGGUCAUCAAAUAUAGAUAUGUCGUUUUAUUGGGAAGAAAUUUCGGAAAACUUG
rnacentral:lncRNA from 1 species